rnacentral:rRNA from 1 species
UACGUAGGGGGGCGAGCGUUGUCCGGAUUUAUUGGGCGUAAAGAGCGUGUAGGCGGCUUGGUAGGUCUGCUGUGAAAAACUCGGGGGCUCAACCCCGAGACGUCGGUGGAAACCACCUGGCUAGAGUCCGGAAGAGGAGAGUGGAAUUCCUGGUGUAGCGGUGAAAUGCGCAGAUAUCAGGAGGAACACCAAUGGCGAAGGCAGCACUCUGGGACGUGACUGACGCUGAGACGCGAAAGCGUGGGGAGCAAACAGG